CAGCGCCACAAGUGGGAACCGAUUUUAUUGGGCCUAAAGCGUCCCUAGCUGGUUUAGCAAAUCUUUUGUGAAAUCAUCAGGCUCAACCUGAUGGCGCGCAGAAGACACUACUAAACUCGGAACCGGGAGGAGUCAGAGGAAUUCUGGGGGGAGCGGUAAAAUGUUAUAAUCCUCAGAGGACCACCAGUGGCGAAGGCGUCUGACUAGAACGGAUUCGACAGUGAGGGACCAAGCCCUGGGGCACAAACCGGAUUAGAUACCCGAGGAGUCC
rnacentral:rRNA from 1 species